AAAAAUUUGUUGAAUGCAUCGACACCGUUCGAAUUUUUGUCUUUGAGUGAAAAUGAAGAUUUUCAAAGUGCCGCCUUUUGCGUAAAUCGAGUGACAGUUGAUAGGCAGCCAUUAUGGAGGGAAAACAGUUGAAGAUGCGUGGUGAUUAAUUAAGAGGAGGAGGGCAGUUUUCCAUAGGAUACGAUUUCCGGAGAUUUUCCUUCUUUCAUCCCCGUAUCCAAGAGGGUGGAGCAAAAACGAGCGUCCAGAGGGUAAUCGGGCGAAGGAAUCCCGAGGUAUCUUGUAUUUUAUGGCGAAAAUUCGCGACGCUUCCGCAAAUAAAAAAGAGGGAACUACUGUCAAAUGCGUUGCGAUGCGGUUUUAUGACGGUGAAUGAGAAAAGUUGAGGGGCCUCAGUGUGCAUCAUCUUCUUGUACCUGCAUCUUUGUCGUCAAGGUCGUUCCUUUUCCCAAAAAUCGACUUUCCAAUCGGCUACUGAACGUUCUAUUACCUGACGUUAUUCUUCUUCAGGUAAGUCGGGCAUAAAUCAUCGUCUCAUCGACGAUUAGUAUUUAUCAUAACUUUCUCCUGGGUGCAUCUUCCAUCUAACUUUUCUCUUUCCUUCUUAUAUCAACAUUCUAUCAUCUUAUAAGCUUCUAUAACCUUAUAUCAAUAUUCUAAUGAUUCUCAAUUUUCAGAUGAGGUGCUUGAAUAUUUUUAGCAGUAAGCUUCAACAUUUUCAUCUUAGAGGAGCUCAGAAGGAAGGUGAUAGUCUACUGUAGCAGCUGAUUAUACUUAUUCUAAAUUUAUUAUAAAAUUAUACUUUAUCGUAUCAUAAUCUUAGGACUUGUAUCUUAGGAAUAAUCUGAGGAAUCGAUCAGAUAAAUAUGUAGGCAUCCAUAUUUCUGCGAGAAACUUUCUACAGCUCAUGGAAGUAUGAUCGGCAAUAAUGCACAGUACGAUCGUGUUGAAACGGUGACCGUGACGAAAGUCGAUUUCCCAGCACGGUACAAUUUCCAGCAGCCUCCUCGGCUUUGCAAGAGCCACCCGCAAUCUUUGUCGGCAAACAGGGGCUCGUAAAUUACGGUACGAACGUCUCAAUGUUGGCAGGACCCUAGCUUCCCAUUGUCUACGGGGCACCAACGUGUUAGACACGCACCCUGAAUUCGAGUUAACCGAAACAGCUCUUUCAAAUGGCUGACUAGGCCAAUGGAAACACAUUUUCUAUAUCAAACGUGUCACAUUUGUAUCUUUGAUCUUAAACGUUGCUAUGUAUCAUUCAUUAUAUCAUUCUUUUAUCAAACGUUUAGUAGUAAACUUCUAUAAGUAAACUCUUUUAUUAAUGAGCAAGCUAUAUGCUCAUUGUUGAAAUUAUUAGCAAGAGAACUUUCUAAAUGUAUUUAAGUAAAUGUAUGUAUAUAUGUAUGUAUGUAUGUACACAUUUAUAUGUAU